rnacentral:rRNA from 1 species
AUUGAACGCUGGCGGCAGGCCUAACACAUGCAAGUCGAGCGGAUGAAGGGAGCUUGCUCCUGGAUUCAGCGGCGGACGGGUGAGUAAUGCCUAGGAAUCUGCCUGGUAGUGGGGGAUAACGUCCGGAAACGGGCGCUAAUACCGCAUACGUCCUGAGGGAGAAAGUGGGGGAGCUUCGGACCUCACGCUAUCACAUGAGCCGAGGUCGGAUUAGCUAGUUGGUGGGGUAAAGGCCUACCAAGGCGACGAUCCGUAACUGGCCUGAGAGGAUGAUCAGUCACACUGGAACUGAGACACGGUCCAGACUCCUACGGGAGGCAGCAGUGGGGAAUAUUGGACAAUGGGCGAAAGCCUGAUCCAGCCAUGCCGCGUGUGUGAAGAAGGUCUUCGGAUUGUAAAGCACUUUUGGUGGGGAGGAAGGGCAGUAAGUUAAUACCUUGCUGUUUUGACGUUACCAACAGAAUAAGCACCGGCUAACUUCGUG